GCAGUGGACACAAGGGUAUUUUGCUUGAGAUUCCUGUGUAUCAGAUGCCUUUCAAAGGAGCAAAGUGGCAUUCAGGAUUCUUGGAGCAAGAAGUAAAGCUACUUGCAAGAUUCAAAUACUGUGCCUGAAGUUAAACCUGGAGAAGGAAGGGAAUAAGAAGCAGACAGCCGUAGAGCUGCAGCCACAGCCAAAUCAGCAUAAAAAGUAAAGAGGCACAACUGCAGAAUGGAAAGACUUUCUAGAAAAGCUGAAGGAAAAAGUCUAGUCUGGCAUUAAUGUCUUCACUGCAGAACUGUUAGAGUUGAACUGGCUGCAAGAGGCACUUCACAUGUUCAAGAGAUGCAAUCAGCAUGAAGCAUAAUGUGUAAUGUCACUGUUUCUCACCUCUUGAGUGCUAACAUAAAGCCAACAGCCUGUUGGAGAAAUGGCAUCAAUGUUAUGGUAAGGUUUAAUUACUAACAAAGUGCAAGACAUUUAAAAGGACAAUUUUUUUAUUUUAUUUUUUUUCCCCAUAAUAAAAAGUGAACAGGUGGAGCAGCACUCAAGAAAAAACAAACCUGCUAUGACUGGGAAAAUCCCUGCUUAGAAUUCUUGUAUAAAGCUACUUUUGAGUCACUCAGGAUGCAAGUCCAAGCCUCACGCAAUCAACAAAAUGGUUACAAGCUAUUUAAAAAUUCCGUGUGGAAAAUGAAACCAACAAGAAGGAAAACACCAGGAACAAGUGUCGUCAACACACUGGUGAAUGGGAAAUUGCAAAUACAAGCAAUGGAUGUGGGCUUAGUUGAGAGAAAUGUGCUUUUAUUGAUCUGUUUCUCUAGAGAAAUAGGAGGAGGAAGAGAAUAACAUCAGUGCUAAGAUAGAAAGAAAUGGAAGAGUUCUUCCCAAAGAAACUCAAGGUAUCAGAACUGUACACAAGAAGAAUCAGAUCUCCAAGAUGGGAAAUAGGUUUGAUUUGAUUAGCAGUAUAAUCAGCCCAUGUAUUUAGGGUGAUGACUUAGUGCAAAUGAUGUGCUGUGGGAAUUAAAGUGAGAAAUCAAACUGCUUUCAGCUGUAGGUAUGACACAAUAGUAAUCAAGAAGCAUUUGUCAUUAAGGUCCUUCAUGACUGUAAAAUCUUCAGUUAAACUUAAGAGUUAUUUAUGACUUUUUCCUUCAAAGUAGAGUCUGCAGAACUAAAAGUGUGCUCCAGGAACUAGAGAUGGAGUGGUUGAGGUCUUGAGUAGACAAAACACUUGCUUGAUGUUUACUUUGUCUUUCAAUUCUAAUCUUUGCAAUAAGUCUGCAUACAGUUUUUCUGAAGAGGAGUUUUUCUGCCCAGCAGGCACUGACAACAAAUUCUUAAAAUAUGUUCUGUGUUUGAUUACAGAAUACUUCAAACUCACUGCUAUCAGUAACCCAGAUACCAUUUUCUAUAAAAUUGCGGAGUUGGAUUACUAAUCUGGUAAUCAAGUAUGGCUUGUCUUUGGUUGCUCUAUUUAUGAGUCUGUUAAAGUUGCAUUCUCUAAGUUUUUGGUGGCUUUUUUUUUUUUUUUUUUUUUUUUUUUUAAAUGUAGAGUAGUCAGAGGUGGUAUUGUCUUCCCAUACUUCCAUAAACCUUACAGAGAUUUUCUCUUACAAUCCAUGAUAUUUAGCUGCAUGGUAAUCAAAACUAUUGCUACUUCUACUCUCCAUAUAUAUUCUUUUGCUGCACUCACAUCAGUACUGAAGUACUCCAAGUAUUGACAUUCUGGUGUACUUAACCUAUAGUGAGUAUUUGCUUUUGCAAUCUCUCUUCUAAAAAAACAAGCAGCCAUUUUUCUUUUUCUUCUCAACUAAUUAUUCAUGUCUUCUUAGUUUGAUAGAGAAGGGAAUUUAUGUCUAUAGUGGACCCAACAUGUGUGAGAACAUCAUUCAAUCUUAAACCACAUCAAUUCUAUCAUUUUUCCAGAUGUGCUGGUAUAGAGAAGAAUAAGUCUUACAAAUGAAGUUAUACAGAAGGUUGCUGUGUUCUGCUGUGAUCUUAUAGAGCAAACUUUCAAAGUGGCAUACUUAGAAUGCCAAACAAAUAAAACCCACUAUGCAGCUUAUGUUAUGUUCCAGGUUUUCUUCAUUGACUGUGUGAAUGCCAAACACAGUGCAUCUUUAAAACCAGAAAAAAACUGUCCAGCUAAAGAAAAAGUAGAUAUAGAAUUCCUUAUAACAAAAAGAUAAUGACAAAAGAGCCACAAAAAAUACACUUUGGUAGACAGCACAGUAAAAUAAAACUGAAUUAAACAAUAAUCAACACGUGUCAAAGCUGCCUAGAAUGUCUCACAGGAAAUGAGAGCAGCUCAGUUUAAACAUUUCUGUCAAGGGCACAGAAGGACGCAUCUAGGAUACAUUUGACUGUUGUCAGAGCCUUCAUCUUUGGUCCAAUGAUCCUCCUGACAUCCUAUUGAUAUGCUCAGACUACAGUCCAGGCAUGCCUCAGAAAGAUGACAUAGUGCUGUUUGUGUGUAGCUCUUUAGUCUCACAGCAAAUACCAGGGAGAUCCAGACUAUCCCUCUUCCUGUCACCCUUCUGUCAGAAAGUGGGCUCUUUUCUUCAACCCUGUCCUCAAGCUAUGCAGAUAUUCAGAUAUGAUACUGCAGGAUUAUGGAGGGCAUCAGACAGAGACAACUAUCUUACUGACUCAUUCAUUAGAGCUUAAAUUUGGACAUGGGGACAAGUCUACUGCUACUUGGUGACAUAAAUGAAAAUGACUCAUCUGUCUAUGUGGCAAUGAACUGAAUAGCUAAUAGACACCAGGAAGCAGAACACGGAGUACAAGUUCCUCACUAGAGGAGUGGAAGGCCCAACUUCUCUCAUUACACAGUAUGUGCCAGAUGAAUUCUGUUGCAAUGUGGUCCAGUUAUGCCUCUGCUCCUUGAAUAAAAAUCAAUCUUAAAGCAAAUAGCUCAGUGCUCAAACAUUGUAUUUGGAAGAGACAAAUACCAAUGCUAGUUUCAGAGCACAAGGAUUGGAUCGUGACCAUUGGUUGUUAUCAUUAUUUAUUGAAAGCAGCUCCUCAUCAGUUCUUGAGUUCUUAUAAACUAACUUUCUGGUACGCAUCCAAACCACUCUGAUUACAUUUCUUAAUAAAAAAUCAAUCAAAGCAAAUACAGAGAGGAAAUUCUCCUCUUAGCAGCUUGAAAAGAACAGAAAAAUUACAAAAACUCAAAUGGAUCUAACAGCUGAGAAGUGUGUUAAGAACAGAACAGAUAAGGGAGUAUUUUCAAUAUAAAAACAAACAUGAGUUUGCAAUUCUACACACUGCACAUAUAAAAUAAAUGAUUAAAGACUCUAGAGCCUGAUAAAGUGAUCUCUUCCAAACAUCUAAGCUGGAUGCCCUUCUUUCCAAAAAAUUUCUCAUCUGAACAUUUGUCAGUGAAUGAACUGCAAUUUACCUUCUUAGAUUGUGUGUCUGCAUAAGCCUAAAUUUAAUAUGGUUCAGAUUAUUGUUCUAGCACUUUACUACACGUUCCCCUUAUCUUGUUCUUUAACAUCCAAAUGUAUUUUUUGAAGUUCCUUUCACCUUUAAAUCAUCAGUCUAAUGCUAAUAUAUUCCCAUGACUAUGCUGAGGUCAUUACUGUAUAUUUUAAUAACAAUAUUCACUGUACAUUCUUUGUAAAAGGUCAUUAGGCUACUUUGUGAGUAUGGGGACAGAUGAUUGAGUGAUGAAGUAUUUAAAAAUGAUUUAUGCUAUUAA